UAGGGAAUCUUCGGCAAUGGACGAAAGUCUGACCGAGCAACGCCGCGUGAGUGAAGAAGGUUUUCGGAUCGUAAAACUCUGUUGUUAGAGAAGAACAAGGACGUUAGUAACUGAACGUCCCCUGACGGUAUCUAACCAGAAAGCCACGGCUAACUACGUGCCAGCAGCCGCGGUAAUACGUAGGUGGCAAGCGUUGCCCGGAUUUAUUGGGCGUAAAGCGAGCGCAGGCGGUUUCUUAAGUCUGAUGUGAAAGCCCCCGGCUCAACCGGGGAGGGUCAUUGGAAACUGGGAGACUUGAGUGCAGAAGAGGAGAGUGGAAUUCCGUGUGUAGCGGUGAAAUGCGUAGAUAUAUGGAAGAACACCAGUGGCGAAGGCGGCUCUCUGGUCUGUAACUGACGCUGAGGCUAGAAAGCGUGGGGAGCAAACAGG
rnacentral:rRNA from 1 species